UUCCCUUCUUUUACAGUGUGCAGAAAGAGCUCCAUCCUCCAGGCUAUAAUGGAAUAAUUCUAGGCUAUGUUGGCAGGAAAAAAAUCCUUCCUUUUUGCUGUAAUCAACAUCUGUCUUGCAAACCAGGUCCUGGCAGUGAUUUUAUGACCCCACCUUUUCCCUUCUUUUACAGUGUGCAGAAAGAGCUCCAUCCUGCAGGCUAUAAUGGAAUAAUUCUAGGCUAUGUUGGCAGGAAAAAAAUCUUUCCUUUUGCUGUCAUCAACAUCGGUGUCUUGUCUCUCACCCUCCCUUGCCAGUGUACCGCCUGCUGCCCUUACUACCUACAACAGUAACUGCUCAGUGGUUUCAAAAUGCCAAGAAUAUGGGAAAGACCAAUUUUUAUGUCCAAUGCACUCUGGUAUGGCUUGACAACCAGCUUUAAUAAAUACUGUAAUAAUAACAAUAAUGCUAACAUAUCAACCUUUGGUGUGAUCUCUAGUCUACAAUAAUUUGACUGAUGUGAAUUUUCCGGGGCAUAACAGAAGAUGACAUACCACUUAUGGUGUGUGUGUGUGUGUGUGUGUGAGAGAGAGAGAGAGAGAGAGAGAGAGAGAGAGAGAGAGAGAGAGAGAGAGAGAGAGAGAGAGAGAGAGAGAGAGAGAGAGAGAGAGAGAGAGAGAGAGAGAGAGAGAGAGUUAGAGAGAGAGAGAGAGAGAGAGAGAGAGAGAGAGAGAGAGAGAGAGAGAGAGAGAGAGAGAGAGAGAGAGAGAGAGAGAGAGAGAGAGAGAGAGAGAGAGAGAGAGAGAGAGAGAGA